GCGAGCAGCACAGGAGGUGAUUUGAUGAGCUGGGCCAUGACCAUUUCUCAGAUUAAAGGGUGUGAUGGGGCUUUUGGGGGCCACGCAGUACAGCCUUCCACUCAAAGAAAGAAACCUCUGUCCCUCCCUCAGGACGAUGGCAUUCCAUCUCUCUGAACUCUGUCACAUACAGUAAUUGCCUGUCAUCGCAAGCAGCCUGUUCCACAGACAGCUCUCAUUACUGGACAAACCUCACUCCUCUUCCAUACAGUGGACAAAAUUAUCUGAAGACAAUCAUCAAUCCCUCCCUAUCAAGACUCUUCAUUUUCCUGGAUCCCAAGUUCCUGAGGAUGUCCCCCUCCUGGCAAGAUACUGAGCUCCCUUCCCCAUCACUGUGGGUGCCUUUUGGGAGGAGCUCCAUUUGUCAGUAAUGCCAAGUAAUUUAACAAGUAAUGUUAAAUUACUUGUAAUUAACAAGUAAUGCCAAGAAGCGAACAGAAUACUGCAGAUAGGUUUUGAUUAACACAAAUAAGAGUGGUACUAUGCAUUAUGCUGUUAUUGUUAUUAUUUUGUUUUAAAUUAGUUAAGUCCCAAUGUUUGCUCAUAUUAAGUCCUUUUCCUCAACUGUCUCCCAGGUCUUCUAUGUGACUCUCCCUCUGUCUAUAUUCAAGCGAUCGAAUAUUUUAUACUUUUAUUUAGAACUCUACAUCUCUCUCAUGCAGUUCAUGAGUUCAAAAGGGUUUUUUUUUCCCCACCAUUCUUCCCUCAUUUGAAUCUCACAACAAUCCCAUGAAUGAGGCUUCUCAAAUGUGAUUAUUCUCCUUUUCAGACGGGGAAACUGAGGUCUUAGCAAAUCAAGAAACGUGUCCACGUCUAUGAGAACAGCAUUCCUUGGCCCUAGAAAAAUCCCUUUCGCAAGCAGAAGGAAAGAGUAUGGACUAAAACUUCAAAAUUUUAAAUCUAAAAUUGCAAAAUAUGUCAACAUUGAUAAUAGUACAGAGUUGAAUGACGGGAUUAAAUUUCUUUCAGCAUUGAAGUAUUUCCUGAAAUCCAUAUGGGACUCUAAUACUAAUAAUAACCCAUAUUUUUUGUGAAUUUGGGUGCAGAAGACAAGUUUUGAAGGACAUCUCAGAAGUCGUCUAAUUCAAAUCGACCUAAGCAAGAACCCUUUCCACCUCGUUUCUAGACAGAUAAUGAUCCAGGCUUUCAGGUGAGGACCUCUAUGGGCUUACUGAGGUAAUUUCAAAAACUAGAAAAACAGGGAGAUGGCAGUACAACAGUGCAUCACCUGCAAUACAGCUCUCUUACUGAGCAACCACUAUCAUGCCAUCUCAUGAUAGGUUUUAUCAUAUUUUUAAUCAUUCAAUAGCUAAUCAUUUGGAAAUGGUCACUUCCCCUGCAGUACUUUUGCCUUCUUUUGUUAUGGAUUUUACAGUUAAAGACUUUAAAAUUAUUUUUUAAUUAUUAAAAAUGAGUAGUCAUUGAGGACUUGGAAAUACAUAAAAGUGAAGGAAGAGAAAACGAUGAGUUUUAGGUGAAUACAAAGAAAAUCAUUAUUAACAUUUAGUGUAUAUUCUUCAAGUCUUUGUUCUUUAGAUAGGUUGGAAAACAUAUACUUGAGAUUAACUGAUACGUACAACUCUGUAUUCUCCUUUUAGUCAUUAAUAACCUAACACAUUUUAAUUAGAAUUUGCUUGUAAACAUUUUAAUGUAUAUACUAUAAAAUACUUCCUAAUCUUUUAAAAUAUGAUGACACACCUAGAAAAUGGCUACUUGUAAGACACUCUGAGGGGAACGGAUGGAGCUGCUCGAAGCAGAGGCCACCGCAGACCCUGGUACUAUUGUAUCUCUGAGGCCUGAGUGGACCAGUGCUUCUGUGAGGUGCCGGCAGUGUGGUCGAGCCCACCAGUGGGGCGGCUCUUCCUAAGGCUCCUGUGCAAUGCUGUAUCAUUGGACGUUCACGAGGUAUAUACCGUUUGUGUCAUAGAAAAUGCUGCAAGAUUAGCUUGGACCAUAAAGCUUUUUACACAGUUAAGGAAAUUUCCUUACAACUGUUGAAAUCAAAAAGAAAUGGAGACCAACCUUGAAAAUUCUCUGAGCAAACAAAACCAGUUUAGUCAUAUAAGCAAAGCUUAAUUCAGCUUAUUUUGCAAGACUAACUUGACGUGGGUCAUUUCUUGCUUAUGCUUCUAGAAAUUAUAAGCCAAACUUGAACUGUUUCCAAGGUGGACAUGAAGUGGCUACUGCCCAAUUCCCUGUCACUGAAGGAGAAAUCCUUCAGUGACCAGUGAUUGUGAAGAGUAAACUGUCACUGCCUCUCACCACCUGAGCCAUGUACCAACACCACGCCCUGUGCCCCAGGUCCAGGCUUUAGUUCGAGUGCUGCCUGUUUGCAAACUGUCUUUUUGGUGUAUGCAUAAUAAACUUUUACUAA